rnacentral:lncRNA from 1 species
GAGCCAGCGGCGCGGUCCUGAGACCCAGCGCGGCUGCGUCCCGCCCAGGUGGGCGGGGGGCGGGGGCGGGGGCCGGGGGGAGGAGGGGAGAGUGGCGUGCCCGCCGCGGACUGGUAGGCGCGCGAGAUCUUGGCCGGGGUCGGAGCACCAUAAAGAUUUAUAUUAAAGACAUGGUUUUCACCCCUCUUCAUCAACGCACAUAAGUUUUCUCUUCUUUCUGGACCCCUAUUUUAUACCACAAUGCAACAAGCUUUAGAACUAGCUUUGGAUCGUGCUGAG